rnacentral:rRNA from 1 species
GGGUUGUGAGGUUAAGCGACUAAGCGUACACGGUGGAUGCCCUGGCAGUCAGAGGCGAUGAAGGACGUGCUAAUCUGCGAUAAGCGUCGGUAAGGUGAUAUGAACCGUUAUAACCGGCGAUUUCCGAAUGGGGAAACCCAGUGUGAUUCGUCACACUAUCAUUAACUGAAUCCAUAGGUUAAUGAGGCGAACCGGGGGAACUGAAACAUCUAAGUACCCCGAGGAAAAGAAAUCAACCGAGAUUCCCCCAGUAGCGGCGAGCGAACGGGGAGGAGCCCAGAGCCUGAAUCAGUGUGUGUGUUAGUGGAAGCGUCUGGAAAGGCGCGCGAUACAGGGUGACAGCCCCGUACACAAAAAUGCACAUACUGUGAGCUCGAUGAGUAGGGCGGGACACGUGGUAUCCUGUCUGAAUAUGGGGGGACCAUCCUCCAAGGCUAAAUACUCCUGACUGACCGAUAGUGAACCAGUACCGUGAGGGAAAGGCGAAAAGAA